ensembl:lncRNA
AUUUUAGUUUUCAUACCUGAUGCUUAUCAUGGGUCCAUAUGCAAAGUUACUGUGCAGAAACACCAGGGCUAACAUCAUGUACUUCCUGCUAUAGGAAGAAAUGCAUUCAUGGCAUUCUUCUAACAAGUAUCAUUAUUUUAGCUAACUGUAAAUCAUGAGGUGUAACAUAGGAAUUACUUCCAUAAAGAACUCUGUGGUUAACAGUUCUCUACAAAGACUAAAGAUGCAAGCUGUCAUUUGAUCUGAACUAAAAAAAGGAAAACGGUUAUCAGCAAGUUUAACAUUUUUUAUUUAAUGUUAAAUAGGACAAAAUACUUAAGUCACAACUAGUUAAAAAUCUGCUUAAUUGUUAGAGAACUGUAAUUUCCACAGUUGUGCAAAUUCCUUCUAACCUGUUUGUCUGUAAAGUGAUAUUGUAUAACAACUUUUGCUAAACAGCAGUUGAUAAGUUUUCCUUUAGUGCUUUCUGUCUGAAAGGUUCUGCAAGAUAUGGUUAAAAUUAUCCGUCAGCACAAACCAUCUUUUCCUGAAUGUGUGGAAUAGCUUGCUUAUUUCCUACAAAUUUAGAUCUUAAUUACAAAUCAAGUUAAAAUUUCAAGUUGGGUCUGUCAAAAUUUUGAUUUAAAUAUAUCUCAAAAUUUCAAGGUUUUUUUUUGUUUGUUUUUUUUGCAUUGGCAGAAAAUGGCUUUAGAAGCUAAACAAAAUUAUGACAGAUAAUGGAAAAUAAAGAAGGCAAGUCACUUCUACUAGUGAGCAAUGGUGACAAAUGACAGGUAUUGGUAAACCCUGUAUUAUAAAAUUAGCUCUAACAGCAGCCAUAAAUGGAAAAUGUUAACAUUUAUCAUAAAGUAAUAUAUUUUCUGUUAUUGUUGGCAAACAUUAACCAUUAGCAUAUGUUUAUAGCACACAUUAAACCCUUGGCCUCAAAAAUAGAAGUAACCUGACUUCCAACCUGUACAUAAUCAGUGAAGCAUCAUGAAGACUGAUUGGUAUGGUUUAGCUAACCAUAUGCUAGCUGCUUAUGCCAGAACAAUAAACGUGGCAGAGAAAACCGUGAACUGAACUAAGGGUGAGGAGUACCGCUCGCCAAGAAAGGGGGAAAAAAUCUAAAACCUGUUGCUGUGUCAUAAGUUGUCAUGUUUAGUAAUUAAACCUUAAAAAAAGCAUAUUAGCAUUCCAGUCUGGGUAAUUUUGCUAAUACGUUUCUGGAUAAUUAAAAAAAAAAAAAAAAGGCCAAUACAGCACUCGCAGUGCGUGAAGUUUCUUGAAAAAUACUGUGAUUGAAAACAUUUAAAGCUUUUCAAACUAUAAUUCCUUUCCUUCUGUUUGCUGUUUAAGAAAACAAAUAUUUCCUUCAAAUUAUGUCUUUGAGAGACAAAUUGCCACUUGCUUGAUUUUCUAACUGACCUCUUUUUUUUUUUUUUUUUUUUUUUGGUCAAAUACUAAGAUACUUCUUGGGAGAAAAACUAGCCAUGUUUUGCUGAUGUUAGCUUCUGUAGGUAACUCGGUUAAUAAGACGUUGUGAAUCCCAAGUCUUACCAAAAAGGCUGGACGAAUAAUGACUCUUACAAUGUACACUCCAAUAAAAGGUUGAUAUAUACGUAUUUUGUUAUUUGGACUCGUUGCUAUGUUUGUUGUUUGUUUUAACCUUCACAUCUUGUCACAAUGGAUGUCUCCUCCAAUCUUUGCCUUUCGUACAAAACCACUGGUAAAUCUUUUGUUGUAGGUCUCACAAGACAUGGUAACAUUCCUUUUCUAUAAUGAAG